GAUGGGGAAUAGUAGUGAUUCUGGAGCUUCCAAUUUCAGAAGGAAGGAUGUGAUGAAAGUUGAUGGCAAAUGUAAUUGUGGACUCAAUGUGAUGUUGUUGGAAUCUGGCACUAUGAACAAUCCUGGGAGAUGGUUCAUCUGUUGUCCUCUACGGGCGGUGGUUGGUGGGUUUGUCCAGAACACUAAUGGGGGCAAAAAAAGAUGAGGUUGAAGCUACUACUCAACUGAGAGAAUUCAGAGGAAGCGAUAAUAAUGAGGCAAAGAAGAAGAUUGUGACGAAGAUGGGGAAGCUUAAAGCAGAAAUUCAAUAUAUGAAAGUGUGGCUUGUUAUGCUUUCUCUGGGUUUGUUAGUGUGUUUCAUCAUGAACAUUUUGUUAGUGUUUAGGGUGAAGUAAGAGCUCUGUUAGAAGAUGAUAAUGGUUUAGGGUUGAAUCUGUCUUCUCUUUGAGUCGUGUAGUUAUUGAUAUUUGUAUGAAAUGAGAAUGAAAACUUUGACAAUUAUAGUCACGUUUGUUUUAAAAUUAGA